rnacentral:rRNA from 1 species
UACGGAGGGAGCUAGCGUUAUUCGGAAUUACUGGGCGUAAAGCGCACGUAGGCGGCUUUGUAAGUAAGAGGUGAAAGCCUGGAGCUCAACUCCAGAACUGCCUUUUAGACUGCAUCGCUUGAAUCCAGGAGAGGUGAGUGGAAUUCCGAGUGUAGAGGUGAAAUUCGUAGAUAUUCGGAGGAACACCAGUGGCGAAGGCGGCUCACUGGCUCGAUACUGACGCUGAGGUGCGAAAGCGUGGGGAGCAAACAGG